AGCUGGUGCCUGGGGGAAUGGGUGGUUAUAAGCCAGUUGGCCCUUCCCCUGUCACUCUUUUCUGCUCCUGCCAUUAUAAUACCAUCUGCCUCAAGGCCCUCACCAGAACCAAGCAGAGCCCCAAAUUUCCAGAACUGCACUCUGAAAAUGGAGUUUGCUGUACAACUGGAGUUUACUGAGGUUUUCACACUGACUAGAAAAGCAUAAGCCAACAAAAUCCUUCUCUAAAACAUUCCUAGCCAGGAAUGACCAGAAACGGGAUUCUAGGGAAAUUCAGCUGAAAUGAACAAGAUCAGCUCAGAAUGGCAACAAAAAGGUAGGGGAAGUCUAAACUGACCUAAAUUGAUUAUAGAAAA
rnacentral:lncRNA from 1 species